UUUUUUAAAUCGAGAAAAAAAGGUUCACACAAUGAUCAUGGUCGAAGAGUUUGACCGGACGACGGGUCCGCGCGACCUAUUCGACCGCAAGUCGGCGUGGGAUAAACGGUUUUUUAUUUUUUUUUUUUCUAAUAGCGUUUUCGACGCACUGCGGCGGACGCCGCCGUCGGGAAAUAAUAUUAGAAUAUUAUUUGCACAAAGGUAUAUUAUAAAUACACGUACAUUAUAGGCGAGUACAUUUUCUGUUUUUCUAUUUUUUCUAUUUUUCGGGUAAAUCGUUGCUUUCGAAUUAUUAUUAUUAUUAUUAUUGUUAUCGUUACUGCGCCGGUUACACUUCGCUGACCGUCGGUUCUCUUUUAACAACACGUGCGCCGGACGACGUUUAAAACGGUAUUGUACGUUAUUAUGUUAUUUUAUCCGCCGGAGUUUUCGGCGACGGGAGAAUUUUCGGCAAAACAAAAUGUAUGAU